GUUGAUAGAGGCGCGGUGCGAAUGAGUCGCUCGGCUGAGGGGACACCCAAAGACGCCAGCAAAAGGUCAAACCGCCGAAAUCGCAAGGUCUUGUAAGCCUUGUGUAGUUGGUCACUGAGAGAAUAUCUCUUUGACUCCCACUCUGAGCUCUUGGCUCGCCGUGGAGGAGCUA
rnacentral:ncRNA from 1 species